CUCAACAAAAUUACAUGGUGAAACAAAUGUUGAAAUAAUGAACGAAAUAAGCAUUUUAUUAAUCUUUAGCAUACACCUUAUCAGCCUUGCACUUGCCCUGAUGGGGAAUAAGGUUGCAUGCUUCGGCGCCAUCUAUUUUCAUUUUCAAGGAAUCUGAUCAGUUCCUGAAGUUCAACUGGCUCAAUCUGAGGCUUGCUUAACCAAAUUCUCAAUCAAGCAUCAGAAGAGAAAGGGGGUAGUUAACAAAUUGAAGGUAUUAGAUCAGAGUUCAACUUAUGCUCAAAAAGAGAAUCAACUUGUACAAAAUUGAAUUCAUACGAUCAGCCUUGCAAUGAGUCUUGUCUCUCGCAAUAAAUGCAUAAACAAAUGUGACAACAUGGCUGCACGCUGAGAGCACACCAACAAAUCCAUCUAUUGAUUCAAAGUGAUGGAGUCCUUCAAUUACAAGUCCAACAUGGCUGCAUGCUGAGAGCACACCAACUAUUGGAAAACAUUAAACAUGCCAAUUCUAUGAAUUGAAUUCUGUAAAAAUAAAUUUUAUCUACCUGGAUUCUGAUUCGUUUGUUGAUGGCUUGCAUCAACACGAGGAAUUGGCAUGAGUCAUUUCCACAACAUAGUUUGCUUUAGGCAUUGCCAUUUAGAUAUAGUGUUUUUGGGAUACUAUAUUCUGAUACAAUAAAAUUAUGUGUAUCCAUUUUUGGUA